AACCUGGUUGAUCCUGCCAGUAGUGAUAUGCUUGUCUCAAAGAUUAAGCCAUGCAUGUCUCAGUAUAAGCUUCUAUAUGGCGAAACUGCGAAUGGCUCAUUAAAACAGUUAUAGUUUAUUUGAUGGUCAAUCGUUACAUGGAUAACUGUGGUAAUUCUAGAGCUAAUACAUGCGCCAAAACCCGACUUCUUGGAAGGGUUGUGUUUAUUAGAUACAGAACCAACCCAGCUUCGGCUGGUCUACUGGUGAUUCAUAAUAACCGAACGAAUCGCAUGGCUUCGCUGGCGAUGAAUCAUUCAAGUUUCUGACCUAUCAGCUUCCGACGGUAGGGUAUUGGCCUACCGUGGCAGUGACGGGUAACGGAGAAUUAGGGUUCGAUUCCGGAAAGGGAGCCUGAAAAACGGCUACCACAUCUA
rnacentral:rRNA from 1 species